GACGAACGCUGGCGGCGUGCCUAACACAUGCAAGUCGAACGGUCAGGCCCGGUCGGGGGUACACGGGUGUCGAACGGGUGAGUAACACGUGCGUAACCUGCCCUCAUCUCUGGGAUAACAGUCGGAAACGGUUGCUAAUGCUGGAUACGAGCUUUCUAUUCAUCUUGUGGGUUGGAAAGUUUUUUUUGGGUUUGGGAUGGAGUCGAGGCCUAUCAGCUUGUUGGUGGGGGAGUGGCUCACCAAGGCUUCGACGGGUCGCCGACAUGAGAGGGCGGCGGGCCACACUGGAACCGAGAUAGGGGCCAAAGUCCUGAGGGAGGCGGCAGGGGGGAAUAUUGGACAAUGGACGGAAGGCUGAUGCAGGAACGCCGCGUGAGGGAUGACGGCUGUCGGGAUGUAAGCCGCAAUCAAUUGUGAAGAAGGUAUUUUGUGACGGUAGCAGUAGAAGAAGCCCCGGCUAACUACGUG
rnacentral:rRNA from 1 species